CGCCUCUUGAUUAGAAUAAGAGGUCUUGCCUGCCCAGUGACUUGUCAACGGCCGCAGUAUCCUAACCGUGCGAAGGUAGCGUAAUCACUUGUUUUUUAAAUAAGACCAGUAUGAAAGGCGCCACGAGGGUUAAACUGUCUCCUUUUCUUAUCAGUGAAACUAAUCUUCCCGUGAAGAAGCGGGAAUAAACUUAUAAGACGAAAGACCCUAUGGAGCUUCAAACAAAAAACACUGCUUAAUCAAUUUUUACAUCUCACCGCAUUUUGAUUUUUAGUUUUAGGUUGGGGUGACCACGGGAAAACCUACCCUCCAUGAUGAACGGGACUAACCCCUAAUAAAAGAGUCACAACUCUUUACUCAGUAAACUGACACCCAUUGAUCCAAUAUUUUGAUCAACGAACCAGUUACCCUAGGGAUAACAGCGCAAUCCGCUUCAAGAGUUCAUAUCGACAGGCGGGUUUCGACCUCG
rnacentral:rRNA from 1 species